rnacentral:rRNA from 1 species
UACGUAGGGACCGAGCGUUGUCCGGAUUCAUUGGGCGUAAAGAGCUCGUAGGCGGCUGCUCAAGUCGAAUGUGAAAACUCGAGGCUCAACCUCGAGCCUGCAUUCGAUACUGGGCGGCUAGAGUCUGGUAGGGGGAUCUGGAAUUCCUGGUGUAGCGGUGAAAUGCGCAGAUAUCAGGAGGAACACCGGUGGCGAAGGCGGGUCUCUGGGCCGAUAUUGACACUGAUGAGCGAAAGCUAGGGGAGCAAACGGG